UGUCUGGUGGGUAGUUUGACUGGGGCGGUCUCCUCCUAAAGAGUAACGGAGGAGCACGAAGGUUGGCUAAUCCUGGUCGGACAUCAGGAGGUUAGUGCAAUGGCAUAAGCCAGCUUGACUGCGAGCGUGACGGCGCGAGCAGGUGCGAAAGCAGGUCAUAGUGAUCCGGUGGUUCUGAAUGGAAGGGCCAUCGCUCAACGGAUAAAAGGUACUCCGGGGAUAACAGGCUGAUACCGCCCAAGAGUUCAUAUCGACGGCGGUGUUUGGCACCUCGAUGUCGGCUCAUCACAUCCUGGGGCUGAAGUAGGUCCCAAGGGUAUGGCUGUUCGCCAUUUAAAGUGGUACGCGAGCUGGGUUUAGAACGUCGUGAGACAGUUCGGUCCCUAUCUGCCGUGGGCGCUGGAGAACUGAGGGGGGCUGCUCCUAGUACGAGAGGACCGGAGUGGACGCAUCACUGGUGUUCGGGUUGUCAUGCCAAUGGCACUGCCCGGUAGCUAAAUGCGGAAGAGAUAAGUGCUGAAAGCAUCUAAGCACGAAACUUGCCCCGAGAUGAGUUCUCCCUGACUCCUUGAGAGUCCUGAAGGAACGUUGAAGACGACGACGUUGAUAGGCCGGGUGUGUAAGCGCAGCGAUGCGUUGAGCUAACCGGUACUAAUGAACCGUGAGGCUUAACCUUACAACGCCGAAG
rnacentral:rRNA from 1 species